rnacentral:rRNA from 1 species
AACGGAGUUAUAGCAAUAUUGACUUAGUGGCGAACGGGUGAGUAACGCGUUGGUGAUCUGCCUCGAAGUGUGGAAUAACGUUCCGAAAGGAACGCUAAUACCGCAUGUGCUCUCGAUUUUUAGAAACUUGAGAGUAAAGGAUUUAUUCGCUUCGAGAGGAGCCUGCGUCCCAUCAGCUGGUUGGUAGGGUAACGGCCUACCAAGGCUAUGACGGGUAGGGGACCCGAGAGGGUGGCCCCCCACAAUGGAACUGAAACACGGUCCAUACACCUACGGGUGGCAGCAGUAGGGAAUAUUAGAAAUGGACGAAAGUCUGAUCUAGCAACACCGCGUGUGCGAAGAAGGCCUUCGGGUCGUAAAGCACUUUUUGGAAGGAAUAGGAAGGAAUGUACUUCCAGAAUAAGUCUCGGCUAACUACGUGCCAGCAGCCGCGGUAACACGUAGGAGGCGAACGUUAUCCGGAUUUACUGGGCGUAAAGCGCGUGUAGGUGGUACUGUAAGUAGGGCGUGAAAGCUCCCGGCUCAACUGGGAGAGGCCGUUCUAAACUACANAACUAGAGGAUGGUAGAGGGAGGUGGAAUUCCAGGUGUAGCGGUGGAAUGCGCAAAUAUCUGGA